rnacentral:rRNA from 1 species
UGGCGGCGUGCCUAACACAUGCAAGUCGGACGAGCGUUGUUGUCUGAAUCUUCGGAUGAAGACAGCAACUGCGAGUGGCGGACGGGUGAGUAACGCGUGGAGAACCUGCCUCACACUGGGGGACAGCAGCUGGAAACGGCUGAUAAUACCGCAUAAGACCACGGGCACCGCAUGGUGCAGCGGUAAAAGAUUUAUCGGUGUGAGAUGGAUCCGCGUCUGAUUAGCCAGUUGGCGGGGCAACGGCCCACCAAAGCGACGAUCAGUAGCCGGCCUGAGAGGGCGGACGGCCACAUUGGGACUGAGACACGGCCCAGACUCCUACGGGAGGCAGCAGUGGGGAUAUUGCACAAUGGAGGGAACUCUGAUGCAGCGACGCCGCGUGAGUGAAGAAGUAUUUCGGUAUGUAAAGCUCUAUCAGCAGGGAAGAAAGACCCGCAAGGGGAUGACGGUACCUGAGUAAGAAGCCCCGGCUAACUACGUGCC